UACCUAUACAUAUAAGAUGGAAUGGAAUAAGCUGGGGAAAUAUUUUGUUUUUUUAAUUGUUCUCGAGAAGCUCUCGCAAGAGGUUUGAAAGCUACCUACGUCCUCGAUGGUCGUGAACUAUUAUGACGUUAUUAUAGUAUUGCGAAAAAAAAAGGAAACAAUUUAUAAUAAAGGAAUGGAUUGUUUGAGUAUAAUUAUGCUAUGUUUCUAUGUGAAAAUACAGAGCCUCUGAGAUUUAAUGUACGAGCAGAGAUUUUCAUUCGGUUGUUGGGGUUCCCAUCGGUGAAUUCAAAAUGAAUCGUGUUGUUGAAUUUGUAUUGGUGUUUGGUGUUGUUUUAAAUGUGGUUUUGGCUGCGCCAAUGGAUACUGAGAAUACUUUGGUAGUAUGCGAAUGUCAAACAAAAGACGUUACACCCUUCCUAACCGAAAUUCGAAAGCAGUUGAAGGGCAUGCAAGUCAAGGAGCAAAUUUCCAUCGGAAAUGAAUGCUGUAAAUGUUGCGUUCAACCAGGAAUGUACGCUGAGAUAGUUAUAAAUAAUACCAAGUACCCGCAGUAGCGAUGACUGGUGUUGUAAAAGUACAAAUAACUACGUAAUUUGUUCUGCGAUGAAGUAAAAAUUGUUUUAAUUGAA